AGAACAGUCCCAAAAUGUUUAUCUUACUCCGUUGUCUGUUACUAAAUCACCGUGUGGCUGAUCAUACGGCUUAUCAACGUCAAAGCCCAUGAGAGAACAUCUAGUAUCUCCAGUGUCUGUUACUUCCUAUCACCUUGUGUCAGUUCUUACCAUCUUCCACUAACAAGCAGCUACAGGUCAUGAUCUCCAGUGAGCUUUCGGCUAUCGAGCUACUGCAAGAUGCCACGGAGAACAGUCCCAAAAUGUUUAUCUUACUCCGUUGUCUGUUACUAAAUCACCGUGUGGCUGAUCAUACGGCUUAUCAACGUCAAAGCCCAUGAGAGAACAUCUAGUAUCUCCAGUGUCUGUUACUUCCUAUCACCUUGUGUCAGUUCUUAC